rnacentral:misc_RNA from 1 species
GAAAUGCGAUAAGUAAUGUGAAUUGCAGAAUUCAGUGAAUCAUCGAAUCUUUGAACGCACAUUGCGCCCUUUGGUAUUCCGAAGGGCAUGCCUGUUCGAGCGUCAUUACAACCCUCAAGCUCCGCUUGGUGUUGGGCUCGCCCCUCCCCGGGGCCUGCCUCAAAAUCAGUGGCGGCCUCGCCCGGUCUCAAGCGCAGUAAUACUCGCCGCUUGUUGUCCCCGGGCGCGGCUGGUCAUCCAACCCCCACAUCACAAGGUUGACCUCGGAUCAGGUAAGGAUACCCGCUGAACUUAA